GGACUUGUAGCUCAAUGGUAGAGCACUCGGCUGUUAACCGAGGGGUUCUUGGUUCGAUACCAAGCAAGUCCG
rnacentral:tRNA from 1 species